UGGUAGAAGAAGAAGAAGAAGUAUAACAACGGUAACGUCGAACCAUCAGCACAGGUCACAGCACAACUAUGCCUUUCGAUGUGCUGAAGGGAAACGGCAGCUACGGCAGCAACGGCACCUCGCCAGAAGCCUUCUUUCAAUUUCCGAAGGUGCAGCUCAUGGAUGGGGAAGAAGGUGCUUCCGAUUACGCAGUGUCAUCGCGUUUAAGUUUCGUCAUUCGGAUGGGCGCGGUUAUCGUAGCUACCAGUGCUGUGGCGAUCGCGGCUGGAUGCUUUGUGAUUUCUAACAUCAUUAGCUGCUGUGGACGCCGUUUGCAACAGAUUACUCGAAGGACGCUCAGGAGCAGCAGGGACACGGUAGACCUUCUACACGGUGGAAACACGGCCUCGAAUUCUGCUGCAGUGGAUCAUCAUAAAUUAGGAGGAACGCAGAAAUGGCUUUCCACUUGCGCAUAAUCCUUUCGUUGCCAUGGAAAACAUUAACUCAAUUGCUCAAAUAAUCUAAGUCACUAAGUAAAUGUUACAACACAAACCGUCGUUGGAGGUCUGUUUCCAGCCCGACAGCAGGAAGCGGAAAAAUAUUUAUUCCUAAUUCGACCAUCCUGAUAUUACGACUACCCAAAAUAAACACAUUUUUCCUCUUUGA